rnacentral:snoRNA from 1 species
AGUCCAUGGUAAGGACAUUUGCGAAGCAUGUCCUUGAAACGCCCCCACACCUCAUAAAGUGAUUCAUUGUCCUCCUGACCAAAGGUGGUAAUACCAUUUCUUAGCUU